rnacentral:lncRNA from 1 species
AUGUUAAGUAACUACUUCUGGGGAACUCGUAGCCAAAGCCCGUCAAGUAGCCGGGACUACCCCAGUAUCUCCAAUUGUGCUUCCGUGGAGUUUGCACUUACGAACUGCUCCCCACCUGAGAAGCUUUUAGCGCGGCGCCGCCGCCCCGCAAACGCUGGGUGCACAGUCCUUCCCGCCCCACGUCCCCAGCACCCCGCUCCCCCAAUCCCGGGCGGCUACCAGGAGGCGGCGUCCGCGCUGCCCACAAUCAAGGGGUCUUUCCUCCGGGUGAGGCUGUUGUACACCUUGACGCCGGUGUCGUGGCCCGCCGGCUGCAGCCAGCUCUGCCCGCGCGCCCCCGACGCCGCCCGCGCCGGCCCCGGCCCGGACCCCAGGCCCAGCGCGGCCCGUAGGAGCCGGGGGCCCACACCCGCCCCGCGCGUCCGCAGCAUGGCCGGCCCUCGAGUCGCACCGAGCAGGGGUGCGCGCGGCCGCCGUGGAGGUUCGCCCACUCCGGGAGGAGCUCGCACUGCACCCGCCCACCCGGAAGAGGGCGUCCAGAUCCCGCCCACUCCGGACAAGUGCCAGACAAGGCCCCGCCCAAACCGGAAACUGCCUCUUAUGAUCUGUCCAACCCAGAAGGGCGGACGCCCAGGCCCCGCCCAACCCGGAAGACCAUCUAGCCACGCCACGCCCAUCCCGGAAGGGGAUCUGGCCGUGCCCGCCUAUUCCAGAAGAUGACCUACCCCCGAGAGGCAGUCGGGUAGCUGCGGCUGCGCCUCCGCUUGGCCUGCAGGUCGCCCACUGCGGCGCUGGGGGCGAGGAGGAGUUCGGCGCGGGCGGAGCGCGGCGCGGGCACCCUAGGCGGUAGAGGGAGGCGCUCCUUCGCGCCAGCAGGAUGAGGGGGGCCCUUCUGCUCCUCGGAUCCCGUCGUGCGGGGUGUUUGUGCUGAAGCUGACGAAUCGGGGUCGGUUCCCACCUCCGGCUAGGAAACGGGAGGCCGCUGCGAGCCCGAGUUCACGGUGCGGGCAUCCGCCGCCGGUUUCUCGCCUGCUCGGGAAACACGUCUCACCUCAACACAGCACGUUUGCGCCCCAGCGCGCACGCUGCACACCCGCAACCCAACACAGCACAUCUGUACACCAGUACAGCACGUCUGCACCCCAACACAGCACGCUUGCGUUCCUAAUGCACACAAGGCACGUCAGCACCCCAGCACAGCACACGUGCACCCUAACAGCUCGUCUGCACCCCAACAGCACACAGCACGCUUGCACCCUAACAGCACAUCUGCAUCACAGUACAGCAUGUCUGCACCCCACCAUAGCACGCUUGCACCCUAACAAGUUUGCACCCCAACACAGCAUGUCUUCACCCCAACACAGCAUGUCUUCACCCCAACACAGCACAGCACGUCUGCACCCCAACACAUCACGCUUGCAUCCUAACAGCACGUCUGCACCCCAACAGCACACAAGGCACGUCUGCACCCCAACACAGCACCUUGCACCCUAACACAGCACAUCUGCACCCCAACACAGUGCAGCACGUCUGUAUCCCAACACAGCACUUUGCACCCUAACACAGCACGUCUGCACCCCAACAGCACACACAGCACGUCUGCACCCCAACACAGCACCUUGCACCCUAACGCAGCACAUCUACACCCAACACAGUACGGCACGUCUGUAUCCCAACACAGCACUUUGCACCCUAACACAGCACAUCUGCACCCCAACAGCACACACAGCACGUCUGCACCCCAACACAGCACCUUGCACCCUAACAUAGCACGUUUGCACCCCAACGCACACACAGCACGUGUGCACCCUGACACAGCAUGGUUGCACUUCCACACAAGGCACGUCUGCACCCCUAUGCGUGCACCCAGCAUGUCUCCGUUUAACAGCACAAAGCUCACUUGCACCCCAAGACAGCACUGUCUCCAGAUGCGACACCAAAGUGAGGAAACCACCCGUUCAUCAAGUAUGUGUAGUAGGAAGUGUCUGCUUGGGAUUCAUUAAGGUUAAACAUUCUCUAUCAUCUCUCUUGAGAACAAAAACAAUCUGAAUUGCGGUUUCAGUGCGACUUUUUAAAGGCGGAUUCAUUUGAAGUUACUUUCAAAUUAUCUUGACAAAAGUGCCCUACUGAUAUCUUGCAAAAGCGUGUCUCAAAAAAGAAAGAAGGAAAGAAAAAGGAAAGAAAUCCCCUUUAUUUUUGCAUUCCUGAAAACCGCACGCACCGAGGUUCUUCAGUUCUUUUUUUGGUUUGUUUUGGUUGUUCUAUUGAAAGGCAAAUCCUUAAGCAGAGACAAACCAGUAUGCUGCUAGAACACUUAAAAAAAACUUUUUUUCAAGAUCCCUGGAGUCCAAUUCUGCAACUCUCUUUCAAGCUAAAUUGUAGUCUAAUGUAAACUAUGUUCUAAUGCAUACAGCUAAAAUGUUAAAACCAAUUGUUCAGAAUUAGGAGAAUUCUCCAUCAGUGCGAAGCACAGGCUUCAUGACUACUCAAAGUUCUACUGGGGUAUUAUUCCUCCUCCUCUGCCUGCCUGCAUCCCUAUCUUCGUUAUUUUGUGUCUCUUGUGUCUAGCACAAUAU